CUGGUUUCAAAGAGACACUCACGUUUUGUACUGAUGCCACCUAGGAAUGUCCACAUUCACUGUCACACUGCUAAGCGGAGCAAGGAUCUAACAUGACUAGAUGCUUCAAGUUCUGUUGCCUCCCCUAUGAUGAUGGAUCAUAACCUGGAACUGUGAACACCGUCUUUGGAAAAUCUUAAAAGAGAAC